GGUCUGCGGGACCAGGUGUUCCAUCUCGGGCAAGGAAAACGGGGUUCUGCCCGCCAGGGUGAUGAGGCGGGAGUGGGGUGAGGGCCAAGCCGUUUGCAGCCUCCCAAGCAGACUUGCCCAGUACGGCAUUCAAGAUUUGGUGUUUGAUGGUACUUAGAUGAGUAUCAGGGACGUGUUUUGUGAAUGUCUGUGAUACUACAAGAGAAACAAGGAAUCCCGAGUUAAUAUCUUAGCAGAUACAACAAUGCUGUCCCAUCUCUGCUGCAUACUGGCGAGGGUGAAAGCCGAGACAUCGACGCACAAAUAUACACCUGAAGUUCAGAUUUUGGCUCCUUCAAGACUUAUUCCUGUGAAGGGGUAUCGUAUGGCCCUCAGUAUUGUUAUGGACCCUUAACGCACGUUUUAACCACCAGCACUGGCUGCAGCGGCCUUACAAGGACUGAAACAAACUAGACUGAUCUAACACAUGCUCCUGGUUCACAUUUCUCAACGGACGUGGGAGAAGAUUCCCUUCUAAUGCCUCAUACCAUUUCUGGCAUUUGUUUCUCUUCCCUCCGUGCGAAACGAAAGGGGGUCAGACCUAAAAAUAUUAGAAUGAUCCUUGAAAGGUUUGUCUGAAGCUUGACAGUUAUAAUGGCUCCAGAAGGAAUCGGUUCAGACAUGGGAUCCUGUGCCAAGGGGUCUCCAACUGAUGCCAUGUUUGGGGGAGAAAAGGGGAGAUAGAUAACAUAAACUCCAACAUCUAUGAUCUGAAACAUCUUGUUAUAUGUCACCGGAUCAUACGUUCAACCACAAAAAAACGAUUAAUGACAUUGCAAAUGCCCUCAAUUGUCUGAAACCUCAAUUAUCCACGUCUAGCUAUUCUCCGUCAGGUCAUUUGGGGAACUGAGAUUGCAUUACGUAUAUAAUAUAUGUGGUUCAAGCCAGUGCAAUUUCUUGGAGGUUGCUCCAUCAUUAAUUCCCCCUUUAAUGUCCCUGAGAAUUGGGCAGAACAUGUAGGAGCAUCAUGCCCUGUUUUUA